rnacentral:rRNA from 1 species
GUUCUGAGAGGAUUUUCCCCCACACUGGUACUGAGACACGGACCAGACUCCUACGGGAGGCAGCAGUAAGGAAUAUUGGGCAAUGGACGAAAGUCUGACCCAGCCAUGCCGCGUGCAGGAUGACAGCCCUACGGGUUGUAAACUGCUUUUAUACGGGAAAAAUUCCCUGGUCGUGUACCGGGGUUGAUGGUACCGUAAGAAUAAGCAUCGGCUAACUCCGUGCCAGCAGCCGCGGUAAUACGGAGGAUGCAAGCGUUAUCCGGAUUUAUUGGGUUUAAAGGGUGCGCAGGCGGAAUGAUAAGUCAGUGGUGAAAUCCUACAGCUUAACUGUAGAACUGCCAUUGAUACUGUUGUUCUUGAGUACAUUUGUAGUGGGCGGAAUGCGUCAUGUAGCGGUGAAAUGCUUAGAGAUGACACAGAACACCGAUCGCGAAGGCAGCUCACUAAACUGUAACUGACGCUGAGGCACGAAAGCGUGGGGAUCAAACAGGAUUAGAUACCCUGGUAGUCCACGCUGUAAACGAUGAUCACUCGAUGUUGGCGAUACACUGUCAGCGUCCAAGCGAAAGCAUUAAGUGAUCCACCUGGGGAGUACGGUCGCAAGAUUGAAACUCAAAGGAAUUGACGGGGGCCCGCACAAGCGGAGGAGCAUGUGGUUUAAUUCGAUGAUACGCGAGGAACCUUACCUGGGCUCAAACGCAAGACGAUCGUUCCGGAAACGGAAUUUUCCCUUCGGGGCGGCUUGCGAGGUGCUGCAUGGUUGUCGUCAGCUCGUGCCGUGAGGUGUCGGGUUAAGUCCCAUAACGAGCGCAACCCCUAUCAUUAGUUGCCAUCAGGUAAAGCUGGGGACUCUAGUGAAACUGCCUACGCAAGUAGUGAGGAAGGUGGGGAUGACGUCAAAUCAGCACGGCCCUUACGUCCAGGGCUACACACGUGCUACAAUGGCCGGUACAGAGGGUCGCUACCUGGUGACAGGAUGCUAAUCUCGAAAACCGGUCUCAGUUCGGAUCGAAGUCUGCAACUCGACUUCGUGAAGUUGGAUUCGCUAGUAAUCGGAUAUCAGCAAUGAUCCGGUGAAUACGUUCCCGGGCCUUGUACACACCGCCCGUCAAGCCAUGGAAGCUGGGGGGACCUGAAGUUCGUGACCGCAAGGAGCGACCUAGGGUAAAACUAGUGACUGGGGCUAAGUCGAAACAAGGUA